ensembl:lncRNA
CCUCCUCCCUCAGCCUCCUGAAUGCUGAGAUUACAGGCAUGCAUUAUCAUGCCCAGCUCAGGCUUGAGUACCAAGGAUCAAACUCAGGACCCUUGUGCUUACCAGGCAGGCGCACCACCUCUGAGCUAAAUCCCCAGCCCUUUCAGCUAAUCUUUACAUAUUUGUUAAUUUACUCAGAAGGACUGUUUCUAACAAUGCCAUGGGCAAUGGACUCUGGUGAACAGAACAUUACUCAGCCUUCAAACAACAUCUGGCAUCUGGCUGUCCCCCAAACUGAGAUGGAUGAUGAAAGCACAUGACCUGAUGAGUGUCCCCAAAUAAUUCUCCUUACAUUAAAAUCAAAUAUAAAGGUCCCUGAUUUUCUCUGUCGAUAGAUUCUUUGCUUAGAAUUCACCCUCUGCUCUCUUGCAGUGUAUCAAAAAACUCUUCAACUGUUCUAUAUUCCUAUGACUACUGAUAAAUCCUUUUUUUUGGGGGGGGGUACCAGGGAUCGAACUUGGGACCUUGUGCUUGUGAGGCAGGCGCUGGAACCACUGAGCUAAAUCUCCAGCCCAAUAAAUCCUUUUUUUGGAUAAAUCCUUUUUUUACCAUUUGCAGCACUGGUCUCUUGUGGGCACAUGAAACUGGGUAGCUGUCCUUAAGACUCCAAGCUGCUUCUGCAGCUCUUCUCUAUAGCAGAUGGCUAUGCACAGAAAUGGCACAUGCUGAAUACGGAAAGCUGUUCUGCUCAGGGUCAUAGAGCAAAAAGAACAUACAUGUUGAGACCAGUACAAGAUGGAAACAUCAGUUAAUCUGAUCAGUUUAGUUAAGCGGAACCAAACUGUUUAUCCCAUUCCUUUGUGCUGAGAUUACCAUCAGAAUGCUUCUAGCUUGUCACAUGCCCCUACUCAAUGUCCCUUGAGUGAUCAUUUUCUUAAUUUGUCUUUUUGCUCUCAAUUCCUGGUAUUUUGAAUAAAAGCUGAACUGGCCUCACUCUGGGACUAUUUACCAUUCUUUGGAGCAGUCCCUCUGGUCUCUCAGCAUUCUUGCAAUCUUGGACUCUGAAUAAUUUGUUUUAUUCAUCUCCAGUGUCCCAGGUGGCAUUCUGCCAGUCUCUCACAUGCUGUGCAUUGCAUGGCAAUUACCCCCUCUUUGAGGGAACUGCUUGGAUUCUUUCUGAUGAAACCCCCAAAAGAGUUGCUUCCAGCCCCUUUUCUCCCCAGUGACUCCUAAAGCCUGGCUUUUGUGGGACUGCAUGAUUCCAAAAUCAAGUAUUCCUCUAGCCUCUAUUGUACUUGUAAAUUAAUGGUUAAAAUGUGCUUGUUAGUUCUGGGAUAAUAGAAUCUGUAACGAAACAAAGUUCCUAAGUAAAAUUACUCAACCCCUUGUUUGUCCGGAGAACGAAUGUUCCCGGGCCCACUACCUGUAGAACAAUCCAUCAGUGUGUCUGCUGACCAUCAGUACGUGACGGUCGACCACUAACCUUUGUUCCUUUUUUUGUAAAUCUACAUGUUAACCUCCCCCUCAACCCCCUAUAAAACAGCCUCGGACUCUGAGCCAGUUGCCUCUCUAAGCUAUUUUGCUUUGGGAGUGCCGUCUGGCCAGACUAAUAAAGGUCUGUUUUAUUUUCCAACUUGUCCGGUGUGUUCCUUCCCGGGUGUUCGUCGCUGCAGUCAGCUCCUCGGAGCGUUUGGUAAGGCCCUCGGUCUUACACUUUUCCCUCGCAUUUGUGGAAAAUACUGAAGCACUUUCAGUAUCUCACUAGGUCUUUGUAACAACCCCACAAAGGGAUACAGCAUCAAUCAUUUUACAGAUAUCAAAGCAGCCUCAGAAAACUUUGGGAGCUUGAUGACUUCUCUAUUGGGAUAUUCCAUCAGGAACCAUUCACCUAAUCAUGGCAGGUUUUGUAGGGAGACAACCCCAAGAAUGUGGGCUUAGACCCCAAGGUGCCCUGGGGUAGGAUGAGCAAAGCAUGAACAUUAAGAUGGAGACAGUGUGUUAUGGCUUGUAUCUCUCUCGAUGUCCCCCAAAAGCCUCACAAGGUCAUAGGUGGAGCUUUUUGGAGGUGACUGGACCUAGGGUGUGUGAUGUUGGGAUCAAGGAUGUGAUGCUGUGACUGAUUCAUGGUAAACUACUAGGAUUAAAGUUGCCCCACCCUGGGUGUGAGUGCUAGAAUACCUACCUUUCGGGUAUCCUAGAUAGGAUAUAAGGGACAGAAAGAGGGUCCCUGCUUGUGGCUUGCUGCUUGCUGCUUUUGCUUUCUUCAGCCUGCUAUGAACUGUUUCUCUUUUGUGAUACCCCUCUGCCAUGCCACUCUGCCUUGGAGUCAGCCAAGUAUGGGCUGAAACCUUUAUAAACCAGAUAAACCUUGCCUCCUUUAACUUUGGGAAUUUUGUCUCAGCAACAAGAAAAUUAACCAAGACAGAGUGUGUAUGUCAAAUCCAAGAAGAAUGUCCCUCGUGAGGUCUCCUAUUGGCAAGAAU